rnacentral:rRNA from 1 species
GCACAAGCGGUGGGAGCAUGUGGUUUAAUUCGAUGAUACGGCGAGGAACCUUACCUGGGCUCAAAUGUAUGUUGACGUAUUCUGAAAGGGAUACUUCUUCGGACAAUAUACAAGGUGCUGCAUGGUUGUCGUCAGCUCGUGCCGUGAGGUGUCGGGUUAAGUCCCAUAACGAGCGCAACCCCUAUCAUUAGUUGCCAUCAGGUCAAGCUGGGGACUCUAAUGAAACUGCCUACGCAAGUAGUGAGGAAGGUGGGGAUGACGUCAAAUCAGCACGGCCCUUACGUCCAGGGCUACACACGUGCUACAAUGGCCGGUACAAAGGGCAGCUACCUGGUGACAGGAUGCUAAUCUCAAAAGCCGGUCUCAGUUCGGAUCGGAGUCUGCAGCCCGACUCCGUGAAGCUGGAAUCGCUAGUAAUCGUGGAUCAGCAUGCCACGGUGAAUACGUUCCCGGGCCUU